rnacentral:lncRNA from 1 species
GAACACCAGAUCCCAUUACAGAUGGCUGUGAGCCACCAUGUGGUUGCUGGGAAUUGAACUCAUAGUAGUGCUCUUUCUUAACUUAUACAGCCCAGGUACUUUUACAAAUGCUUUCCCAGCCUCUUUUUCUACUGCCCAAACACAAAUAUUAUGAUAUAAGUCAUCAAGCCAUGAGGCUCAGAACAGCCUGUCAGUAGGACUUUAUAAAUCCCUGUGGACUGAUAAUCAAACUGCCAUCCUUCUGAAUUCCUUCUGAGCCUGCCUCACACACUCUCUGAACCAAUACAGGAAGAAGCCUACCAGAAUCCACUGCUCAGAUAAUGAGUGGGUAUCUCAAGAUACACAUUACCAUUUCCAUACAGAACUAUGGUCUCUGUGUUUAGAAAACAGAAAAUCAAGAGACUGGAGGUUUAUGGAUGGGGGAAAAUAACAGCAAAACUUCCAGAUGUCAGAGAAAGAUAAGAAAACAGAAACAGGCUGAUCAAAGGGAGAAAGUGGGCAGUAAUGACUUGACUUUAUGAUUCUCAAGCAGGUUAAGUAUAUCAAAUGAGACUCUCACUUGAGCAGGUUAGCCUUGAAUUUCCUUUUGUGGGUGAUGAUGUUACUCACUAGUCUACCCCCUGGCUAGUCUUUGUCAUAGCUUUCAAGCAAGAGCUUUUUGGUAGUAUUGCUGAGGUCAGAUCAAGCAAUCCUUAGUUCUCAGAAGUUCUGCAUCUAACACCAAGGACAGAAAGUAGAAGGAAGAAUAUUGAAGUAGGUUUGCCACAGCAAUCUUUUAGUUCUUGUGACAAGGCAUGUCGUGGGAGUUGAUGGAAACUUCAUUCCUACCUUUUAGAAGCCAGUUCCUUAGCCUUACCUUAAAUUGCUCUAUCUUUUUGCUAUGACACUGAAGACGAUUGACUUUGGAGAAAGAGAAAGAGGUUAUCACUCAUGGCCUUAGAAUGUGAGGAAGGUGUGUGCUUUACAACCCAUGCUGUGCUUUUGCCUGGAAAAAGAAGAUAGGACUUUCUGAAGGCAGAGAUAAGUCCUCCAGGCUCCAGCAGACAGUUCCGUACCCAUGAUCUCUGAGAGACUCUAGGUAAAUUCCCUGGCCACUAAACAAAGACCUGAACCCCAGAAGUGACCCUGUAGGGAGGAGGGACCCCUGACAGGUAUGGAAGGAGAACACAGAGUGGGGGAUCAGAACAGUCAGAAUGUGUGUGAUUGUGGGACUCACUGCAGAGUCACCACAAACUCCGAUUACAGAAAGCAAGGUGCCUGCACAAUGCACUGGAGAGAUGUGUGGGAAUAGGAAAUAAGGAUGCUGCUUCACAUGGCUACACCAGCCUGUGGGUGUGUGUAUGGCUGCUGUGGGAAACUGCAUUUGAGCUGAGUAUUCUUUCAUUUUAAUCAUUGUUUUCCUUUAAAAUGGAGACCCAAUGUCACUGGGAAACAUUCUCACCCUGUAUCUGGCUGCGCUGCUUUGCCUAAGUUGAGCAGAAGCACGAGAUUAACAGCGU